GUCUUCCUGGCUACUCUUGGAGAGACUAAAUUACAUUUGAGAUUUUAUGCAUCAUCAGUAUUUUUUUCCCUGUAAAUUGCAAUUGCAGGAAUACCUCAAGCACUCCUGUCCCUUCAGGAUAUGGUUGACAGCACUGCAUGAUUGUAACUGAGAUCCUGAUAAGCAAAUGAAAUGACAUUGAUGCAUAAGUUUACCAAAAACCAGAGCUAAGAGAGUCUUGCUGAGGAGACAGGAGGAACAACACUUUGGUGAAUGUGGAUUGGGAAUGCUUUGGCAGCUGUUACAGCAGCACUCGGCACAGGACUAUUUGGAACAAAAGAAACUGAAAGAAACCCUGGGGAAGACAAUCUGUGCAGCAGCACUUCUGGAAGAAUUUGGCCUUACCAGGCUUCGUGGGACAGGAGUUGCAUUGGUCCUACAGGAGUGAAACCGUGAGGAUGCAAAUGGCAAGGCAUGAAAAAAUAAAGCGACAAGAAUUAGGAGUUGUCUAACUACAACCUAGAAGAAAUGCAAAAGUAGUCAAAUGUUGACUUCAAAAGGUAAGAUUUGGACUUGAUUUUUUCGGGAAUUGCCAUGCUGGUGAGGGUGAGAGCACUGACCAGCCAAACCCCUGUCACUGCCACUGUCACAUUCUGCACACUUGUGUCAGAGACUUGCUCCUCCAACCUCCUCAGCAGCAUUUAAAAAAUACACAAAUUAGUUUAACCUCAUGUUAUGAGAGAAACAAAUCAAAGGGGAGGGUGGUCUAAUAUCUGUUAGAUAAUCUGUGCAUGGAAAUGGCUGGCCCAACACUCAUCAUGGACAGGGUCUCAUCAGCUGGUAGCCAAGAGCACUGCAAGGAGCAAGGAAGGUGAUGCAAGCAAUAAAUUCUAAACCUCAGGAAAAGGCA
rnacentral:lncRNA from 1 species